rnacentral:rRNA from 1 species
CCUACGGGGGGCAGCAGUGAGGAAUAUUGGUCAAUGGACGAGAGUCUGAACCAGCCAAGUAGCGUGAAGGAUGACUGCCCUAUGGGUUGUAAACUUCUUUUAUAUGGGAAUAAAAUGUUCCACGUGUGGGAUUUUGUAUGUACCAUAUGAAUAAGGAUCGGCUAACUCCGGUCCAGCAGCCGCGGUAAUACGGAGGAUCCGAGCGUUAUCCGGAUUUAUUGGGUUUAAAGGGAGAGUAGGUGGAUUGUUAAGUCAGUUGUGAAAGUUUGCGGCUCAACCGUAAAAUUGCAGUUGAAACUGGCAGUCGUGAGUACAGUAGAGGUGGGCGGAAUUCGUGGUGUAGCGGUGAAAUGCUUAGAUAUCACGAAGAACUCCGAUUGCGAAGGCAGCUCACUGGACUGCAACUGACACUGAGGCUCGAAAGUGUGGGUAUCAAACAGGAUUAGAUACCCGUGUAGUC